AGGAUGAACGCUGGCGGCGUGCCUAACACAUGCAAGUCGAACGUCCUGUCUCGCAAGAGGCAGGGAGUGGCGGACGGGUGAGUACCACGUGGGUCAUCUACCGUGAGGUGAGGAAUACCGGCGAGAAAUCGCCGACAAGACCGCAUAGGCUCGAUGCAAGUCGAGCAAAGCUCUUUCGAGAGAGGGAGCGCCACACGAGGAGCCUGCGCCCGAUUAGCUAGCUGGUGGAGUAACGGUUCACCAGGGCGACGAUCGGUAGCUGGUCUGAGAGGACGAUCAGCCACACUGGGAUUGAGAACGGCCCAGACUCCUACGGGGGCAGCAGUGAGGAAUUUUCGUCAAUGGGGGCAACCCUGAACGAGCAACGCCGCGUGCAGGAAGAAGGUUUCGGAUCGUAAACUGCUUUUCUCGGGAAGAGAACGGACGGUACCCGAGGAAUCGAGCCCCGGCUAACUACGUGCCAGCAGCCGCGGU
rnacentral:rRNA from 1 species